UGCUUAAAGUUUUAAAAAUUUGUGUGGUUUGAACUUUUGGUUUGUAGAUGCUUAUUGCUAAUUGUUGAUGAUCCGGCAUGAUGUAAAACUGCAUGUGAUGAAGAUUUUGUUGAAAAUAUAAGAUUAUUUUCUUUUGAGUAAGUGAAAAUGAAUUUUUCACUAGAGUGAGAAAGGAGUAGGAUGUAAGUAGAUCCUAGUGUGUGUUGUUAUAUGUUUGUUUAUAACAUGUGGUAGAUUGAUUACUAGUACUUAGUGUGGUUCUUUAAUUGAACUAUGUGAAUGUAUUCUCAUGAUGAGAACUUGUUUGAGAACAUGCUAUGUUUUAUACAUGUUUGAGUAGAUGUUGUAAGUAUGCGAACAAAUGAAAUGUAAUGCAUGUACUUGACUCGAUGUCUUGUGUACAUGGAUGUUUUGUUGUCUUACAUAUAUUUUAGUUAUAAAUAUAUGUAUUGACAUGUUGUUGUGUUUGCGUAUGCUAGUUGGUAUGAAGGUUGUUACACUAGUAUAUGUGGGGAAUAGAAUACUUAUGUAUUUGCGUAGUGGCGUAUAUGUCAAGAGGACUGUACAGGAUAUUUGUGUAGAUGUCUAGGUUUAAUGCCUUACGUUUACCCUUGUAUGCGACACGCAUGUGAAUGUUGUCGGUACUAGAUUCUUUUUGGGAGAAUAUAUUUAGAAUCGAUAGAAUGACUAGGAGUUUAUACCGGAAGUUCUAGUGGAAGAGUAUAGAUGGGUUUGAGAUAAGUGGGGGAGAAAGUUGUGUCUCUCCGAGAUGGUUCGAAUGUGAAGAAGUUAGGAUGGAUGGAGAUGCUCUUGAAGUAGAUUGUUCAAGAUUGAUUAGUGUUGUUCGAAGUGGAAGGAACUUGGACAGCAAGUUGUGAGGAUUGCUAGAUGAGAAGUUGUUGGACUAAGUGUUCGUCAUGGGAUCAACACUGAGAUUGGUUAAGAAAGAUGAAGACCGUUUGGAAACGAUUGGAGAUCGUGUAGUGUACAAAAGAGUAUGGACUAGAGGCGGAUGAGAACUACAAGAAUUUCUCAGAAGCAAUACCAUGGAAUGGAAGGAGUAGGACGUUGUCGUUCAGACAAGUUGAGUAAGGACGAGUAGACGUCAAUUUGAUAAGGGAUUGAAAGUAAAGUUCUUAUUUGGAGAGUAUUUUGGAGGAAAUAUUAGAUGAUCAUUCCGGAAGAUUCAGAAUGAGUCGAACUAAAGUUGUUUAGCCGUAAAGAGAAUGUGACCAUUGUUGAAUGGUGGAACGGACAGAGAUGUUAAAUGAAAACCGUUGUUGGAAAACGGAGAAGACGUUGUGCGUUAAGAGUAGGCGAACCUAGUGAUGAUUAGGAGAUGGUUAUAAGAAUGGUGGGAAUACCUAUAGAGUUGUAUCAGUGUGAGCUAAACUUGUUAAUUAUUAGCAAGUGAACCUUUAAGGAAAGUAAACAUUUUGAAUAGUUCGAAGAGACUAGUCAAGAUUGGAAUAGAGAUUUUGUGUGGAUGAACUUUAGGAUGUUAUGACUUUAAGAUAGUCACGAGAUGCGAAUAAGAACUGAUCGAAUGGAGAAAAGUAUGUUUGUCACAAUGAGAAUGAUCCGUGACUAGUUGGAUUGUGUGCGACAAAUUAAGGACGUUGUUGGAAUCAACAAGAUAGAGAUCAUGGUUGUUUGGAAAUCAACUUUUGGAUAGUCACCGAGAUUGAAUAUGGACUUACUAGGUGAUCGAGAAGAGCCUAGGAAGGAUUUAUAGUGGUUGAGUGUGUUAGAGCCAAGUAAUCAUUUCUUGGAAAGAUUUGAGAAGCUUAGAAAUAGAUGUUAAGCUUAGAGAACCAUUAGUGUUGCAUAAUCAAGGAAAAGAAGUAAAUUCUCAUAGUAGAUGAGAAUGGAAUUAAGAGAUACCGUAGUAGGGUUAGUAAACUUGUGAAGGUGUCAAGUAGUAGAGGACGGUAUGAGUAGUAGAGUUAUUCCAAGAUAGAAGUGAGGUAACAAUUUGAUGGAUUUUGUAAGAGUUUGUUGAGAAGGAAAUAUUUUCAUUUGGAUAAUGAUCGGACAAUUGGUGUCGAGGUUGGAUGGAACCUUAGAAGUCGAAAGGAAGCUAAGUACGAAGUGUCGUAUUUGGAUAAUUGGAAAUAAGGAAGUUAGCCUUUGGAAACGUGUCGAGCACGAGUAUUAGAGAGAUGUAAAGAAGUGACUUAUGUUGAGUAAAAGUUCGUUGGAAAAGUUAAUUAUGAGAUGGAAAAGUCGGUGGAGAUUAGAGAUGUUGGAUACAUCGUAAUCUAUUGGAAUAAUAAGGUCAUACCAUGUGGUAAGUGAUUUAAGGAUUUCAGAUAAUGUCAUCGUGGACGGUGGAACGACAGUGAGUCGAUGGGUGACUGCAGAUAAUAUUUUGGAUAAGAGCAUUUCGAUGGAGAAAUGAUAUUGGAAAUGACAUGUUAAGAAUCUUAGAAAUUGGCUAAGAGGUUAUUUGGAAAUAAAGUGAUUGUGUUGGAAUGCGACGCAAUGAUUUGGAAAUUGUAAGAAUAAGGAAUUUAACGGUUAGAGAUGGUGAAUUUGACAAGUGUCAAGAAAAUUUGAAGAGUUGGUCAACAAAGGAAUGUUGAGGUUGUGUUGUCGACUAAAUGGUUGGGAUAAGAUUCAACAAAGUUAAGUGAUUAAGGAAAGAAGUAAAGGUUUAUGGAACUUGAAAAGUUGUGAAGUGUUCAACGGAGUGUCUUUCGAGGUGCAUUAGACGGAGUCGAAGUUGUUUUGGAGUAGUGUCGUGAGUACCCUAAGAUAUUAUUUGGACGUUUAAGUAGUUUGAUGAGAAUGGUUCAUACCGUCAUCGUGAUUGUUGACUAUCUAUCGACAAAUUGAGGGACUGGCCGUCCUUGAUCUAUUGUUGGUAGUAGACGAAAUUGUGAUGAUUGGGGUGAACUGAUUUUGUCAAACUUGGUUUGAUAUGGAAUUGGAACGUUUUGUUAGCAUGAAUCCGUAGAAAGGAUGAUUUUUGGACCGGAGAUUGUGUAAGAGAUCACAUCGGUUAAGGUAUUAUGAGUAGAAACCCGUUGGUUAGAAUGUAAGUUGGGAAUUAGAAAGUUGGAUUAGAGUUUUAUCUGAGGUUGUGUUUUAGUCGGAUAAUUUUCGAGGGCGAAAAUCUUUUAAGUGGGGGAGAGUUGUAACGACCCGAAAUUUAUUAUUCGUUAUUUAAUUAUUUUAUUACGCGGGGGCGUGAUUCAUAAUUAUUUUAUUAAGCAGCGAAUAAUUAAUUGGCGCGAACCUAAGUUAAUACGCGAGUUAGGAGCGUUACGUGAGCGAAACCAUGCAAGUGGGCUUGAAGCCCAAUGAGCCAAGGCAAGGGAAAGGGGGGCGGUUUGUGAUGCAAGUGGGAGGAGAAGAUAUUUUCUUCUACUUGGUUGGUAAGAAAAGUCAAUAAAGGUGGAAAGGAGAUAAGAACAAGAGAAAAAUCACAAAGUUCAUUCAUCCUUCUUCUUCUCUCUUCUUUGGCCGUGACCAUUCUUUUCCAUUCCUUCCAUCACAAAUUUCAUUUCUUCACCAAAUUGAUCCAUCUUAAGCUUGUUGGAAACAUGAGAGUUCAUGGAUCAUCAUCCCUAAGCUAGGGCAAGCAAGAGAGCAAAGCAAGAGGGUGCUAGGGCUUGAGAAAGAGAGGAGCUCAUGAGAGCUAGAACAUGAGGAGCUUGAGGAUUCAUCAAAUUUCUAAGAUAUCCAGAUUGACAGGUUAUAUGUUAGCUUGUCCGAGUAGCGUGGUGAAGCUCCGCUCUGAUUGUGACACGGGGAGAAAAGGGGUUUUGUAUAUAUAUAUAUAAAUUCCUUUAGAAAAUUACUCUGUAAUUGCUUAUGUUUUCAUAUAAGAAUUAUUCUUUGUGAAAAGUAUUGGUUUUGUAUAACUUAUAACGCAUCGUGUUGAUGCGGAGGAUUUUGUAUUUUGUGAUAUUCAAACCAGCGCUUUAUAAUCAGAUUUUCAA